GGUGAGGUGGCCGAGCGGUUAAGGCGCCAGACUGAGGAUGCAUGAUGAUGCUGGCUUCCAGCAACAGGGUUAUCUGGUCCGAAAGGGCAUGGGUUCUAAUACCAUCCUCAUCA